rfam:Bacillus badius strain MTCC 1458 Contig4, whole genome shotgun sequence.
ACCCGUUCCCAUCCCGAACACGGAAGUUAAGCUCUUCAGCGCCAAUGGUAGUGAGGGGCUUCCCCUUGUGAGAGUAGGACGUUGCCAGGC